rnacentral:rRNA from 1 species
GACGAACGCUGGCGGCGUGCUUAACACAUGCAAGUCGAGCGAGGAGCUUGCUCUAGCGGCGAACGGGUGAGUAACACGUGGGCAACCUGCCCCAAGCUCUGGAAUAACUCCGGGAAACCGGGGCUAAUGCCGGAUAUGACAUCACUGGGCAUCUGGUGGUGUGGAAAGAUUUAUCGGCUUGGGAUGGGCCCGCGGCCUAUCAGCUUGUUGGUGGGGUAAUGGCCUACCAAGGCGACGACGGGUAGCCGGCCUGAGAGGGCGACCGGCCACACUGGGACUGAGACACGGCCCAGACUCCUACGGGAGGCAGCAGUGGGGAAUAUUGCGCAAUGGGCGAAAGCCUGACGCAGCGACGCCGCGUGAGGGAUGAAUGCC